GCAGAUCUGUUUUCCCUACCUCUUGGCCUUCCCUUGGGUUUCUAGAAGGACUUUCAUGUCUUUAUUUUAGUCCCCUUUCUGCUAUCAAGGCUCCUUUAGUUUUCUUAGGCAAUUUUUACAAAGCCUUUAAUGCAAAAUAAACUGAAUGGCUAGCCAAGAAGGCAGCUGGAAAGUGCCCAGAUUUGGCUGUUGUGUAUUGGACCCCACCCCCUUCUGCAUCCAUGACAGGCAUAGCAAUGCGGCUGCCCUAGAGGCCACUUCAGGUUUGGAAAACCGCAGCUUGCUCCUAGAAUCCUGAACUUGAACCUCAUUUGAGACAGCAAAUGACCAGGAUGAUUUGCCCUAUUGAAGCCUGUUAAAACCGGACAAAAUUUUUGAAAGAAAGGGAAACAGUUCCUUGGAUUGUAUUCAGGGAUUUGCUUUGAGAAGGAAUUUGAGUUUUUAGGGGGAAGCCAAAGACAAGAUUCAAGUGAAGCCUGGCCUGAGAAUGCACCAGGAACUAAGAUGAAGAUUGACUAACUCGCAAUCAAGCUUUCAGUGCUGGGGAUCACGAGUUCAAGCCCAGCCUAGGCAGUUUAGCAAGAACUCUCAAAAAAGGCUGAGGAUAUACUAAGUUCAGAGGUACAGCAUCCCUGAGUUUGAACCUAGUACCACAAAAAAAGGUCCUUUCUUAACUGUACUAUUAAUAUCUUUUUUUAACUGUACUAUUAAAAUUUUUAUUAAUAAUGAUACCUCCCCGUCUCCUCCCUGUGCCACCAGUUUAGAUUUAAAUGUGACCCCUUUAUUUCAUUGCUCACCUUGCUUCCUGUAUUUAUUUUAUUUUUUGUGUGGCUAGCACACAUGAUAGGCACACGAUAGCUCUACCAGUGAGCUAUACCCCCAGCCCUCUUUUACUAUGGUGGUAAAAUAUGCAAAUAUAAAAUUUUCCACUUUAAGUUUACAUUUCAAGAACAUUUAGUACACUCAUCUUGUGGGACCAUCACCACAUCCAUCUCCAGAACAUUUUCCUGUUCCCCAGGUGAAACUGUACCCAUUUAAAACACACUCCUCAUUCUCCUGUUUCCUCAGCACCUGAUAACUACUUCUCACUUUCUGUCUCGUGGUCUCUGAAUUUGACCAUUCUGUGUGCUUCCGUAUAAGUGGAAUCAUAGUAUUUGUCCUCUGUGUCUAGCACAGUGUCCUUCGGGUCCAUCCAUGUCACAGCCUUUAUGGGGUUCUCUUCUUUUUUAGAGCUCAGUAAUAGUCUAUUGCAUCUAAAAGCCACAUUUUGCUCUUCUUUCUUUCUCUUUCUUUCUUUCUUUUUCUCUUUCUUCCUUUCUUCCUUUCCCUCCCUUCCUCCCUUCCUUCCUUCCUUCCUUUCCCUCCCUUUCUUCCUUCCUCCCUUCCUUCCUUCCUUCCUUCCUUCCUUUCCCUUCCUUCCUUCCUUCUUUGUACCAGGGAUCGCUCAGGACAUUGCCCUUGCCUGCUUGGCUCCACUGAGCUACAUCCCCAUCCCCUCAUAGUCACCAUCUUGAUGGGUGUGAAAAGGCACCGCCCUUUCUUGUGCAUUGUCAUCCCCUCUUUUGCAACUGCCACCUUAAACUCAGGCCAACAGCCAAACUUCUCCCGACCCUCUCCUAACACACUGCUGAUGUCAUAGCUGGGAUGUCAAGUGUCUUCCUCCUGCUGUCCCCAGUGUGUGUGGUCUGCCAAGCCCAUCAGUUCCUCUCUAGAGCCAUGAGCCAUUUGCAUCUCUUCCCCAUGUGUAUAGGCUCUCAUUUUACCUCUUUUUUUUUUUUUUUUUAUUGGUACCAGGGAUCGAACUCAGGUCCUUGCGUUUACACAGCAGGCAGCAAAACCGCUGAGCUAAAUCCGUGGCCCUCGAAUUUUACCUCUUGCCUAGAUUAUUGUCCUCUCCCUGUCCUAAACACCCACAGGCCCUUAUGCCGUGUUCACUGGCAUUCUGAGCCAGCUUCCCACUACGCACCAGAGAAAGAAGAAAAUGUCCACACAGUGGCCCCUUCUCACAUGCCUGGCACUGUACCACGAGGCCUGCAUCCAGGCUGAGUGCCGGCUCAUAGAUGUUCAUAAGGUAACUCUUAGGUCAUAGCUGGCCAGCAAUAAAGCGGGAUUCACACCAGUUCAAAAGCAGUCAUUUAAUCCUCACCCUAAACCUAGUACCUCAUACCCUUUAGGUGAGGAAAGCACCUCAGUGAGUGACUUGCCUAAAAGGAGAUGGGCAGUAACUGGGAGCUGGGGUUUGGACCUGGCUCUGCCUCUAACCUGUCCAGGGUCAGUUCCCCACUGCUCCCAAAUCCCUGGCCCUGCACCUAGACGCAGAGUGGCUUGCCAGUGUUACUCCCCUACUAUCUCAUCCCUUGCCCCAGAUUAGACAAUCUGCCACUGAAGAGAAGCUGAGUGUCAGUUUACCUCUACCUUUGCUCCUACAGCUCCAUUGCCAUUUAGCUGGCCUUCCCAACCCAAACCAGUUGCCACUUUCUCCCUGAAACCACAGUUCUCCAUACUGGAAGAAAUCCUAGGCCAAUCUUGAGCUCCUACAGCUCUGACUCAAUAGUCGCGUUCUGGAGAGAGGCGAGGUGGCAAACAACAGGCAGCCCUCCCACAGAUGAUCCCUGCUGAAUGAACAAAGCCUGUCUCCCUGCAUGCAGGGC
rnacentral:lncRNA from 1 species